UACGGCCAUAUCCCGUUGAAUACCGUUUCUCGUACCAUCACCAAAGUUAAGCAACAUCGAGCCUGGUCGCUACCUCGAUGGGUGACCGCUUGGGAAUACCAGAUGCUGUAAG